rnacentral:rRNA from 1 species
AUGUGGGUUCAUAGUGCCCACGACUGGCCGUGCGACGAGAGGUAUGAGCCAUACUUCGAGAGAUUGGGCCUUCUCCCGUUUAUGCUUCAGUUCAAGCGACACGCUCCGUCAAUCAACCACAGGGCAAUGACCGCACUUAUUGACCGUUGGAGGCUAGAGACACACCCGUUCCACUUGUCAUGUGGAGAGAUGACCGUGACCUUGGAGGACAUGGCGAUGAUCAGUGGCCUUCCAAUCAAUGGAGAAGGUUUGACUGGCACCACCGUAACUGCUAAUUGGCGAGAUCAUGUUGGCCAAUUGACAUGUGUUUUCCCCGUGCCUCUUGAAGAAGGCGAGCAUGACAAUGAGAAAGUGUUGCAUCAUUGGCUCCGAGAGGAGAGAGGAGUAGUAUGCCCUUCGGACGCCAAUGAGGUUGUUGCGCAGCAGCACGCCGAGCUUAUAUGUGGUAUCUGUUAA